AUACGGAGGAUCCGAGCGUUAUCCGGAUUUAUUGGGUUUAAAGGGUGCGCAGGCGGAGAUGCAAGCGUGACGUCAAAUUUCGGGGCUCAACCCCGUCUCGCGUCGCGAACUGCGUCCCUUGGUUGCGGGAAGGGGAGGCGGAACUCGUGGUGUAGCGGUGAAAUGCAUAGAUAUCACGAAGAACUCCGAUCGCGAAGGCAGCCUUCCGGCCCGUCAACGACGCUCAUGCUCGAAGGUGCGGGUAUCAAACAGGAUUAGAUACCCUGGUAGUCCGCACAGUAAACGAUGGACACCCGCGGUUUGGCCUGUAUGGCUGAGCCGCCAAGCGAAAGCGUUAAGUGUCCCACCUGGGGAGUACGCCGGCAACGGUGAAACUCAAAUGAAUUGACGGGG
rnacentral:rRNA from 1 species